rnacentral:rRNA from 1 species
UAGACCGUAUAACAAUCGAAACCGCAUGGUUUUGAUUUUAAAGGCGCUUUCGGGUGUCGCUGAUGGAUGGACCCGAGGUGCAUUAGCUAUUUGGUGAUGUAACGGCUCACGAAGGCCACGAUGAAUAUCCGACCUGAAAGGGUGAUCGGCCACAUUGGGACUGAGACUGGGACCAAACUCCUACUGGAGGCGGCAGUAGGGAAUCUUCGGCAUUGGACGAAAAUCAGACCGAGCAGCGCCGCGUGAGUGAAAAAGGUUUUCGGAUCCUAAAACUCUGUUGUUAUAGAAAAACAAGGAUGACAUUAACUGUUCAUGCCUUGACGGUGUCUAACCUUAAAGCCACGGCUAACUACAUGCCAGCGGCCGCGGUAAUACGUAUGUGGCAGUCGUUGUCCGGAUUUAUUGGGCGUGAAGCGAGCGCAAGCGGUUUCUUAUGUCUGAUGUGAAAGCCACCGGCUCAACCGGAGAGGGUCAUUGGAAACUGAGACACUUGAAUGCAAAAGAGGAGAAUGAAAUUCCAUGUGUAUGUGUGAAAUGCGUAUAUAUAUGGAUGAACACCAGUGGCGAAGGCGGCUCUCUGGUCUGUAACUGACGCUGACGCUCAAAAGCGUGGGGAGCAAACGCGAUUAGA